rnacentral:rRNA from 1 species
UGAGGAAUUUUGCGCAAUGGGCGAAAGCCUGACGCAGCGACGCCGCGUGGGCGACGAAGCUCUUUGGAGUGUAAAGCCCUGUCAGGUGGGACGAACAAGGCGGGGACAAAUAGGCCCCGUCUCUGACGGUACCACCAGAGGAAGCCCCGGCUAACUCCGUGCCAGCAGCCGCGGUAAUACGGAGGGGGCAAGCGUUGUUCGGAAUCACUGGGCGUAAAGGGUGCGUAGGCGGUCCGUUAAGUCUGAUGUGAAAUCCCUGGGCUCAACCCAGGAACUGCAUUGGAAACUGGCGGGCUGGAGUACCGGAGAGGGAAGCGGAAUUCCUGGUGUAGCGGUGAAAUGCGUAGAUACCAGGAGGAACACCGGUGGCGAAGGCGGCUUCCUGGCCGAGUACUGACGCUGAGGCACGAAAGCGUGGGGAGCAAACGGG